AACCUUAAACAUUUUAUUCAUAUGUGUAGCGAACAAUGUAAAAAUUGUGAAUAACAGAGGCAGUUAUUUCAUUGGCGGAACAUUUCGCGAAACAAUUCGCUGCGGUAUGAAAACAGUAGCGGAAUAUUGUGUACCUAUCAAGACGGAAUAAUUGUACAACUCGGAUAAUGAUAGGGACAACUGGGUUAGUGCUGACGAAAUCAUUUGAAAGGAAAAUCAACUGAUACAGUUCUUGGCAGCUAUAUGCAUACAAAAAAUCUGCGGACUGCUACAUGAGAUUUGUAGCAGAAUUCCUAGGAUACCUGUGCAGUUUGGUAUAAUGUAAAAACAUGGAGCUGGUAACUAGAAGUUCAAGUUUGAACUCGUUGUGGUCCAUAGUGUACUGUUUAGUCGCUCUGACUGUCCAUUGUUACGUAACGUAUCAGGGUGUGUCGCGUUACCGGAAGUUAAACAAUGAGGAAAUAUGGGGCGGAGAAGCUCCCGGAGAACUUCGUGCGUACAUUGCGUUGAUAGUGUUAGCUGUCUUAUUUCUGCCUCUCUUCAUUUUCUUCUCAUUUUUGAAAGUUGGAAACACAGCAAACGACGGUACCAAGCUUGGCAGGGACCAUGCCCUAGAUUCAAAUUCAAAUACACUGGGGGCCAAGAUAAAAGUAGAACAUUUGCGUCAUUUUUGGGAACAGUUCCCGCCAUUUUCACCGUUACUUCAGAUGCUUUAUGCAUUUCUCGUGCUGCUACCGGAAAUGGUUUUAACUGCUGUGGAAGUAAAGCAUGGAAUUAUGGCCUCAGAUGCUGUUUGGACAUGCAACCUUGACUUCCUGUUCGCUUCUGAGCGCGCAGGUACAAGCAAUAUCAUCGGCCAGUCAAACGUCACGGUUCUUUCAAAUCUCUCUUUCUAUGUGGUCCCGACACCGAAGCCUCCAGUUGGCGGAUGGACAAGUGGCUCUACAUUGCACGUAGCUUUCAUUUACAUGGCAGCCAGUUUAAUCAUGUUCGCAAUACGGUAUUCGGCCGUAUUCUGGUUUACAAAUAAAAUAUUCAGCGCCAUAUUUGCUACUCAGUUACUGUUUUUGACUGUAGAGUCGCUCUUUGUUCAUUGCGGCAUUGAAAUUUUGUACAAGUUUUCAGUUAACUUUGAGCUAUACAAAGAAAACAUAACCAUUAUCCUUGGACCUGGUGUCGUCUUGUUUUUAUAUAUAUUGAGUGGUAUUAUACUUAUCUUCUCUACAUUUUUCGUGUACAGUUACGGUGCUAUAUAUUUCAAGAAGAAGUUUGCUAUAAUAGAUCAACGCCAUCAUCCGGAAGCGUACCGGAAGGAAACUGUGAUUGUACAAGGUAGUUGCCAGGACUAUAGGACUCAUACUGCCGCUAUGGUGUCGUUUGUCCUUCUAGCUCUUCUAAAAGGACCAGUUUUAUACGACUUGGUAAGUUUGUACCGAGAAACGACAGAUUCGCUUAUAUUAUCGGUUAUUGUUGUUGACGUUUGCUAUCUUGUUUUCUGGGUAAUUUUCUGGACCAUACUGACCCUAAAACAGCAAUGGCAGUUCAGAAUUCUGGAUUAUGUCCCCUUAAAUCAGCCUAUUUUUACGAUUUCCAAUGAAAAUAUUGUGAAAAGCGCAUCUUAUCACGGUGGCUCACUGGAACUUCAUGAUCAGUGUAAAAAGAAACGUCCUAGUUCACUUCCGAGUGAUCUUACAGCUAGCGAGAGUGGUUUUGGAGAUGCUAAUUCAUCCGAAGAUGAACGAGAUAAGUUUGAAAUUUCAUUGCCGCCAUUGGCGGAGAUACCUGGUUUGGUAAACUCAAGAAGGAAGGGCUCCACACACUCGUUAGAUAGAAGAAGUCGUCAUCGCAGAAAUGGGAACCAGAGAGUUACAUUUCACGAAACUGUCAAGCGCUGUACAUCUACAGACAGUGAACUGUGUGCAAGGCGGCAAAUGAAUAUUGCAGUAGAUGUACACGGCGCUUCCGCAAGACCGUCUCUGUCAGAAAAGGAAAGCAGAGGUAUAAUACCCCAAGAAAUGGAAGUUCUUCGUUCCCAGAGACCAGGGUCCCGUCAUUCAUUUGGAGCCCCUCCUAUUGGUUCAAGACCUGCUGUUUUAAACAACGUUCUAUAUAGACACAGCCCUUCCUAUUCCGAUUUAGGAAGUACGAGUGAUUACAGCGAUAGAUCGAAAUCUAUUAAUACACCGGAUAACAGUUUAGACUAUAACGAUCUAACUAUAAAAAAUGAUUAUGCAUAUGGCGCAAGACUGAACUUGAAGUCUUCAAAUAUGGAAACGCAAACUCACAAUACAAGCAAUAACAGUGCUGAAAGCAGGUAUUCUUAUUCAGACUCGAAUCAAAAUCAACUCAACGGGACCCAUGCGCAUUCGCCAGUAAAAGAUACAAACAAAAUACUAUUAAAUGAAGUGAAAAGAAAUAAUGAAGUCAGUCGCAACCACCUGAGUCCGAGAACUAUCGAAUUUAUUGACAAAAAGCACGAAAUAGCUCUAGGACGAAGAGAUUCUGCAAACUACUCACUGACGUCAUCACAAGAAACUGCGUCGAAUGACUCUGAUCAGGUGCAGCAGGCGCUUUGUAGCCAAGUAUGAAUGACCCGCUUAUUGUUUAUGUUACUGCUGUCCUUUUUUUUUGUGUAAAUGUUGCUUGUCAUUCCCUUUAUGUUGCCUUUAGUUUGAAUACAACUUAUAUUUGCAAUUAUUGUAUGUAAGCGAUGUGCAUUCUUUUGGAGCAAAUUAUACCCGGGAUGGUUAUGGUCGCAGCUUCCAUAAACCAUGCGUUGUUCUGUUAUAAAUAGGCCUAGAUCUAAUAUUCAUUAGUUUCUGUUUUAUUUAUAACUUUUAUACAAGACAAAGAGUUGCACAUAAAAUCGUUUAUUUUCAUUUCAUUUUGCACGUUUUCAUGUAACUUGUUAAAUUUUAACGUAAAAUUUACUGAAUAAAAUAUUUUCAUGACGCAUGUAUGCAUGUGUAUUUUCCCUGUCAAUAACCGCUUCAUUUAUAGUGUUGAUAUGCGCACUAAAGGUUCUUGUGAACGUGACGUGAUGUAAAGUUGCAUUAUAUACGUUACAGUAUCUCUAUUUAUGUCCCCCGUACUCUCCACGAAAAUAUUUGGCGGACACAUAGUUGCCUCGUCCGUUCGUCAGUCUUUCUAUCCGCAAUAAUAAGCCUACUUCUGAGACAGUUUAAAUGGAUACGUCCCGAACUUACAGAAAUGUGUCACUAUGAAGCGAGCUUGCGCAUGCUUUCAGGAUAUACAUAUGUCAUGCCUAGUUUAUGAGUUAUGGCCCUUUAAAUUUUGCAAAACGCAAAGUACAACUACAAGGCUUAUCCAGAUAAAUCCUCUUAACGUUUACAAGGGACCUGGUCCAAACUAACAGAAAAUUAGCCCCAUGAAAUGAACUUGCGCACAUUAUCAAGAAAUAUGACCUGCCUAGAUUAUGGGUAAUGUAUCUUUGAAAUUUUACAACAUGCUCUAUUUUCUAUACCGAAAACCGCUUAACAACUUUCAAGGGAUCUAUACCCAGGCAACAGAAAUGCAUUGCUAUUAAAUGAACUUAAGCUUGGUGUCAGGAUAUACAUUUAUUGUGUAAAGUUAAUGAGUUAUGACCCUUUCAUUUAUGAUCAUGUACAAAUGUAUUGUUCAGGUUUUUCAGCUAACUUUUUUAACAGUCUUCAUAGCAUAUAUCUAAACAUGUUCAUCUACUCAGCCAGCCAGAACCAUAACUUUCUUCUGAAUAGUUUAUGAGUUGUGUCCCUUUUGUGUAUUUGAGCUAUUGUAACUAACCUGUGUCCACACAUCAUCAACAAUUUGACGACUGUUACACAAUAGAGGCAACACUUUUCGACCAGUCUCAAUAAAACAUGGUCAGAAUUUGCCAAGUAAGAUACUAGGCUAUCUGGAGUCAAAAAGUAGGUCACUACGUCACAUUAUAGAAAAUCUUGCUCUUCAUGAAAUUUUGUCAGAACACAGAAAAAAGUACCGUAAAGUUUAAUGGGUGUUACUGUAAUACAGUGGCGGGUACUGACCUGUAGUAUAUGUUGCGGUAUGGAACGGCGCGCAUUCUGGGAAAGCGCGGUCGCCAUCUUGCUGCAGAAGCCAGCAGACUGACGGGAUGUCGUAAAAAAUGAGGACCACCUACAGACAGUUCCCCUGAGUCAUCAAAACAUGCUACACCUAAGUAGGUCAAAGACGGUGAACAGCGAAGCCAGGGAUAUCAAUUAAGACACUAAAGUUUGUCGUGGACUCGUCUGAUUGACUUACACGUUGUAUUUAUGUGAUUUUGUAAAACAAGACGAUAAGCAUGGUAAUUUUAAUGGACUUUUUCCACAAAAGUAAAUGUAUUACCGAGGAGAAAAUAAGUAUAAAAAAUUUGUUGGAUGGAGCAAAAAAAAAAGACGACGGGGUUAUCAAUAUUCCUGAUACUGUGUUUGCAAUGCGUUCAACUAAAAUGACUGGUGAAGCUGUAUAUAUUUUACAGUAAUCAUUUAGCGCUUUUAUCAUUUGUUUUCAAUAAUGUGUGAUAUACUUAAAGUAGGAAUAAACAACAAUGUAAUGUUUAUAUUUAGUCAAUUAAAUCUUGUGGUUAGAGACUUUUA
rnacentral:misc_RNA from 1 species